rnacentral:rRNA from 1 species
GAAUUCCAGGUGUAGCGGUGAAAUGCGUAGAGAUCUGGAGGAAUACCGAUGGCGAAGGCAGCCAUCUGGCCUAAUACUGACGCUGAGGUACGAAAGCAUGGGGAGCAAACAGGAUUAGAUACCCUGGUAGUCCAUGCCGUAAACGAUGUCUACUAGCCGUUGGGGCCUUUGAGGCUUUAGUGGCGCAGCUAACGCGAUAAGUAGACCGCCUGGGGAGUACGGUCGCAAGACUAAAACUCAAAUGAAUUGACGGGGGCCCGCACAAGCGGUGGAGCAUGUGGUUUAAUUCGAUGCAACGCGAAGAACCUUACCUGGUCUUGACAUAGUAGAGACUUUCCAGAGAUGGAUUGGUGCCUUCGGGAAUCUACAUACAGGUGCUGCAUGGCUGUCGUCAGCUCGUGUCGUGAGAUGUUGGGUUAAGUCCCGCAACGAGCGCAACCCUUUUCCUUACUUGCCAGCAUUUCGGAUGGGAACUUUAAGGAUACUGCCAGUGACAAACUGGAGGAAGGCGGGGACGACGUCAAGUCAUCAUGGCCCUUACGGCCAGGGCUACACACGUGCUACAAUGGUCGGUACAAAGGGUUGCUACACAGCGAUGUGAUGCUAAUCUCAAAAAGCCGAUCGUAGUCCGGAUCGCAGUCUGCAACUCGACUGCGUGAAGUCGGAAUCGCUAGUAAUCGCGGAUCAGAAUGCCGCGGUGAAUACGUUCCCGGGCCUUGUACACACCGCCCGUCACACCAUGGGAGUUUGU